UAAGACGAACCGUGCGAACGUUGUUCGGAAUAACUGGGCUUAAAGGGCGCGUAGGCGGGCUGUCCAGUCUGGGGUGAAAUCCCGCGGCUCAACCGUGGAACUGCCUCAGAUACUGACGGCCUCGAGGGAGGUAGGGGCGUGCGGAACUGUAGGUGGAGCGGUGAAAUGCGUUGAUAUCUACAGGAACUCCGGUGGCGAAGGCGGCGCGCUGGACCUCUUCUGAC
rnacentral:rRNA from 1 species